UACAGAGGGGGCAAGCGUUGUUCGGAAUUACUGGGCGUAAAGGGCGCGUAGGCGGCCCGCUAAGUCGAACGUGAAAUCCCCGGGCCGUCAACCCGGGAACUGCGUCCGAUACUGGCAGGCUUGAAUUCGGGAGAGGGAUGUGGAAUUCCAGGUGUAGCGGUGAAAUGCGUAGAUAUCUGGAGGAACACCGGUGGCGAAGGCGGCAUCCUGGACCGAUAUUGACGCUGAUGCGCGAAAGCCAGGGGAGCAAACGGG
rnacentral:rRNA from 1 species